AAUAAGUGCAGCCGUGGAAAUUCGUGUCCAACGUUUGACCGUCCGUCUUAUUUGAAAAAUUUAUGAAUUUUUUUUAAAAAAAUAGUCACACAUAAAGUACUAUUCAUAUUUUAUCAUCUAAUAACAAUAAAAAAAUAAUUAUAAAAAAUUUUCAAAUAAGACGAACGGUCAAACGUUGGAGAUGAAUAGUGCAAAACUGCAUUUAUU
rnacentral:pre_miRNA from 1 species